CAGGGCGGCGGGGGGCGGUGCCCGCACACGGUCGCUCACCCGGCCAUCUUUAACCGGGUCUCCUCCCCUUGCGCCGCCGGGACUGACACCUAGCCGAGGGCUCGUAUUUUAGGUCUCCGCCAGGACUGUCUCUCAUCCACCUCCUCCGCCCAAUCCAGGUGCCCCCCGUGAUCCCGCUGGACGAAAAGAAGGCCUUCUCCCUCUUCUAGAAGGCGCCAUGACAGUUCUAAUGCCACGAAAAGACAAAAGGAGCGAAAGACCUAGUCCCAGUCCAAGGAGAGAGCCCCUCACCUUCACUAUUUAGGGAUGAGACUCUGCACAGGACCCCAAUUCUUCAGGAAGGUUUUUUUUAAAAAAGCACUCAGCACUGAAAAUCAAUAGUUGACGCUUUGCACACACUAUAUGCGGAAACUUUACAAGAGGCUUUCACAGAUGUCUCAUUUGAUCUUCCUAAGAAUGGACUCGUUGACAUUAUCCAGUGAUUGAGGACAAAUGCCAAAAAAAAAAAUCUACCUUAAUCCGAGGCAUUACGUUGUUUAUCGAAAUGAACUUAAUGAGCUAAAUCUAGAAUCUGAAACAAAUUCAUCAAAGCCUUCCUUUGAGAAGGUGGAAAGAAUUUAGAUUGACUGUGAGGAAGUAGAGAGAAAGGAUGGUAGAUUCUGGGUGAACCAUCGAUGUGCGAAAAUUACUCGCGGAGCCUGAAGGUGGGAGUUGAUUCUGGGGUUAGGGAGGGAGAAGGGUAAAUCAGUCAUCCAAGCUUGGGAAUGUCAUGACCACCAAAUUUCACUGCCCUUACCUUAAAGGGAAUUUCUAACCCAAUUUCACAGGGAGAAAGAAGGAAAUGUGGAAGAAGUUCAUUUUUUCCACCUCAAAAUAUUUGUUCUAAAAGCGAAAUUUUCACCCCUCCUUGGAUUAUUUUACUUUUGAAAGAACUCAAGCACCUGUUUUAGAAAUUUGAUGAAAGUUUUGGACCUUACUUUGGAUUAAAAAAUUCAUUUACCUACCAAAUUUAGCAGUUUUGGAGCUGAGGUUAAAAAUCUUUGUUGUAAUCUCAAAGGGAAGGACAUUCCACCUCCUCUCCAGAUUAGCCUUUUCAUAGGCUUCAAAACAACUGGAACACCUGAGCCAUGUAUUGCAAGACAGGAACUUGGACCAUGAUAUCUAUGGUUGUCAUCUCCAGCUUCGGGAAGAUGUCUCACUCUUCAGCAGCAAGAGUUGAAGGUCCCAGCAUGGGUGAUAAUGUUCUUCCCUUUGCCUCACUCUGGCUUUGCAGUUUGAAAUUUAAUCUUUGUUUUUACAAAGUUUGUUACAUCGGAGAAAAAAGAGAUUUUCCAAGAAGAGAGGACAUUCUUAAGGAGACAUGAAGGCUAUGGGCACAAACCAAAUAGAAACUCGGGAUCCAGCACUGAUCAGACAAGGGCGCAUCUGCAAGAUCAAGAUUCCCCCGCCAGAUGGAAAGGCGAAGAAGAAGAAGUGCAUCUCUCAGGUUCACACCAGCAGGAUGACACUGGCCGGUGAUGUAACCCUGGACAACCUGAGCAGGGCAGAGGAUGAGCCCCUGGUGCUGACAUCAAGGGAUCUGUGCAAAAGCUGCUCUCACAGCCUUGAGAGAGCCAGAAGGAAAGUAAUGAAGACUUCAAAAAAUCUUUCAAAUGUUCUGUAUGAGAGGGCACCCCUGAGAGACUCUCUCCUGAACCACAGUUGCCUUCAGGAAGGUAGUUGGGACUUUUCCUAGCCCCUGGGAAGGAUGAGAUUGGGAACGUGCCUGAGGGAGACCAUGCUGCAGUUGAUUUUUAUUGACAAUGUGUGGUGUUUCUUUUCCAGAAUGGCACAUUGGAUGCCCACGGAUGGCCUUGUCUGUGCUCGCUGUGAUGCUUGCUCUGUUUCCCAAUAAAGUGUGCUCUCUCACAAAAAAUUAAAUAAAUUAAAAAAUGUUUAAAGCUCAGGUGAAACAUAUUUUGAUAUGCCAGAAAUAACUAAAGGGGUAAAAACAAUGUCACUGAAAGGCCUUUAUAAAUAACUGAAAAAAAAUGCUUGGGAAACUCGUUUCUGAGCAUGGUGGUAUAAACAGGAACUAGACUUAUCCUCCUCCUUAAACAUGUAGAAAGCUGGACCAAUUAUAUAAAGCAAUGGUUUCAGACUUUGGAAACCAGCCAGUGCAGGGUAGCAGUUCCUGAGAUAAGGGAAACAUGAAAUUAACCCUCUGAGUUCCCCAGCUAUGUCUGGAAAGAAUGUCCACACCACUGUGUAGGAGAGGGAAUUUUAACAGAGCCUGACAGUAUCACUAUUGAGAGAAUAAGAGUUUGGGACCUGGACGUGGUGCUGUGUGCUUGUGAUCCCAGCACUCUGGAGGCUGAGGCAAGAGGAUUGCCUUGGGUUCAAGGCCAGCCUGAACUAUACAGCAAGAUAUUGUCUCAAAAAAAAGUGUGUGGGGAGGGGUAGAGUUCAGGAAGGUCAAGGCAGCUACAUUUUCGGGGGGUUUUUUUGUUUUUGUUU